rnacentral:rRNA from 1 species
ACUCCUACGGGAGGCAGCAGUGGGGAAUAUUGCACAAUGGGGGAAACCCUGAUGCAGCCAUGCCGCGUGUGUGAAGAAGGCCUUCGGGUUGCAAAGCACUUUCAGUAGGGAGGAAGGUAGUGUAGUUAACACCUGCAUUAUUUGACGUUACCUACAGAAGAAGCACCGGCUAACUCCGUGCCAGCAGCCGCGGUAAUACGGAGGGUGCGAGCGUUAAUCGGAAUUACGUGGGCGUAAAGCGCAUGCAGGCGGCCUGUUAAGUCAGAUGUGAAAGCCCGGGGCUUAACCUCGGAAUUGCAUUUGAAACUGGGCAGGCUAAGUGUCUUGGUAGAGGGGGUUAGAAUUUCGAGGUGUAGCGGUGAAAGUGCGUAGAGAUCUAGAAGGAA